UAUGGUUUUUAAAAGAUCAACUCGCCAAAAAAAGGGGGUGGGGCGUUGGGGAUUUAGCUCAGUGGUAGAGCACUUGCCUAGCAAGCACAUAGGCCCUGGGUUCGGUCCUCAGCUCUGGAAAAAAAAAAAAAAGAUCAACUCGCCUAAGAAAGACAGAGGGAGAAGCAGAGGUGACGGCCUUCCUGCGUCCAAUCAUCCAGUCUCCAAGCUGACCCUGGCUCUCACCACCUCCGCAAACCCUCACCUCCAUCGCUGCCCUGGGCAUUUAGACCAGCACCACUGGCUCAGAGCACAUCCCACAGAACGGACCACCUUCCCGACCUCUUUGGAGAGUUUGCCAUGCAAGAGGGCAGGCCAUGAACUUGGCAAAUGGCUGAGGGAGGGACACUCUUGGUGGCAAACCACACUAAGGAUCAAAGGCAAAAGGCAAGCCCCAUGAGCUUCCCGUCAGGUGUGACUGCUUUAGAAGGGUCUCCUGUCUACACCUGACCCUGGCUCUCGAGUCCUUAGAGGUACCUUAGGCACUCUGGCCACGGUCCCGUUUUCUCCCAAGGGCUCCUACAUCCAGUGAUGAACAGAAAAGGAGGUGUGAGGACUGUACCAACUAGCGCCGCCUUGGACCAGUUUCAAACAUCAGCUGUCUUUGUGACUUGCCCUAGUGGACUUGCCUAAAGACUGCAUCAUGGGGUAACUUCCCCUUCUGCCUGCUGCUGGCUUCUCCUCUCCCUCAAAUGUGGAGCUGUGGACUCUCACUACUAAGAAUCCUGCACAUGGAACGCCAUUAGACUCAGCUCCCUGGGGGACCCCGUGUGUGACAGAGACUGUGAGCAAGCAUCGCUUCAACUGGCAAUCAAGAUGGAGACUGGGCGCCUUCCGUUCUUUCUGUCUUCUCAAGUCUUGGCAGGCGGGCCAGUGUGUUUUUCUGGAACUUCGGGCUUGCAAAGUGCUCUCCAGUCACUUGAGAGAAUCCAAGUUUGUUAAUGGCAGGACGAAAAAGGGUUCUAUUCAUCAGGAGAGACAACAUACAUAAUAUUGAACUAUUGAAGAAUUAGGACUUUGCUUAUGUGUUUACGUCUCUGUAGCUGUCUGUGGGUAUGUGCACAUGAGUACAGCUGUCCGGAGGCCAGAAGACGGUGUCGGAGCCCUUGGAGCUGAAGUUAUAGGCUGUUGUGAAUCGCCUGGUGUGGGGGCUGGGAACAGAACUCAGUCCGCGCAUUAAAUCACCGAAGCCUCUCCCCACCCUCCAGCCCACAAUAUUCUCUGAGCAAUCAUUGCUUUUCCAACUGAAGUUUGAUAAUAUUGAAUGGAAAAUUACAGAAAUAAACAACUCAACUUCAGAGUUGCCAAAGGGAUGUUAUGCAUGUGGACCUUAUGGAUUUGUACAAGAACCCCCAGGAAUCUGGAAAAGGUCAGAAUGGAGCCACCUUAUCAAUGUGGACCCAAAAUUCCAGCUUGCCCAAGGCCACCUACUAGUAAGGAGACAACAGAGUUUAAAAUAAGACUUUGGAGUCCAAAGCUUGUGUCAUAAAUUAUACUUUGUAUUUAUGAAAAUGCCAACAUUGGCCCCCAAAGGACUUCCCUUACAAUUAUGCUAAAAUACUCAGAAAACAUUUGAGAUAAUGUCUCAGCAUGUUCAAAAUAAUAUGCUCAUAUGUUUAUUGAUCUACAGUGAUGGAAGUGGUAAGUGACAUAGUAAAAACAAUCCUAAAUUAUAUUUGAUGGACUUCACGGCACCAUAAAGAAAAUUUAACAUUAAAGGAAAUCAAGUUAUUUUAAGAUGCAUGGGUGGUGGAACAUAGAACCUAGUGUGUGCAAGACCCUGGUUGCAAUCCCCAAUACUGCCCUCCCCCAAAAAAAGCAGCAUUAAAAGAUUCAUUAACUGGCUGGGUCUGCAGCUCAGCUUCCAGCAUGCUUGCCUAGCAGGCGCUAAGCUCUGAUUUCAAUCCCCAGCCUGUGUAAACCAAGUGUGGUGGUGCGUACCUAUAAUCCCAGGGCUUGGGAGGUAAACAUGGGGGGAUCAGACGUGUGGGAUCAUCCUCAGCGGCAAAAAUUAACUGACUAAACUUAUCAUAGAUAUGUGUAUAUAGAAAAAACGCAGUGUGGUUAUGGUUGGGUACUAGCUGCAGUUUGGGGAAUCCAUUCGGGGGGUCCUGUAACCCUGUGGUUUAGAGGAGACCACUUUACAUUAUUAUGAAAUAUAGAAAACUGCUAUGGGAAAUGUUUGAUUCUGCUGUAACAGGCAGUUUCCAAGGGUGUAAAGGAAGUGUUCCCCUUUCUAAGCUGCAAAGAGUGGACAAAGUCCAGCAUUUCUGCCCACUUCCUGACAGUUGCCUUCAUGUAAGGUUUAAGCACCCCACUGAACUCUGCCUCGAAAGGCAGAAUGAUGUAAGUCAUGUGCCCCUGUGGGCACAUCUUGGCCAGGCGUGGGUGGUGCUCACACGAGCUAAGAGACUCUCUGCCAUUUGGCCAAGAACUAGCUGGCUCCAUGCCUAGCUAGUUCUGGUGCCCAUCUGUCAGGGUGGCACCUGGCCCUUUUGCAGAAACAGAUGGUUUCAAAGGAUCUUUCCUUGCUGGCCUUCCCCAUAAUGAUGCUCUAAAGCAGCCCAGCCUCAUCCAGGGCCUGAUGGAAUCCUCACUUGCCCUCUUUCCUCAUAUCUUUGCCCAGUAACCAAAUUGCUUUACUUUCUUCUUUUCCUUUUUUUGUCUUUUUUCCCUAGUAUUUAAAAAACAAAAACAAAAA